CAGUUACUCCCGGAAGCGCCGGGACGGGUGGUGAGGGGCCCGGGCGGAAUGGCGCGCCUUAGAGCGGACGGUGUUCGUGCUGCUUUCCGUGCCGUGGUUUCUGAAAGGCGAGACGCCCCUCCUGUGCUGUCCUCAGAAGGGCUCUUCAGAGACCGCACCCCUAGUUUGCGGAGCAGCAGAGCCUGCCCCAGUCUGGACUAGGGACUUUAUUUCUUCCACUCUCACCACUGGCUGAAGGCAGACUCCUGUCUCCACAGACUAAAGAGGAAUUAUCAAAAUGAGCUCGAAACUCUAGAUUUGAGUUAAGUAUCAUAAAUUAACACAGAGAAAUACAACUUUAACACAAAGACCUGUUUGGAGCCCCAGGUGGAAUUAAAAAAAAAAAAAACUUGAACAGAGGGAGUGAUAAAGUUUUCCUUCUUUUGCCACCCUCUCUCGGUGGUCCCAAGCUUUCUCAUCUCCCACCUCACAAGACUGUAUCAACUGCUUUGAGACUUUUAGAAUAAAGAUCCCCAGGCAUAUCACUGCUGUUACCCUGUGAGGAUUUCCCCAGUGCUGGGUUAGACUAAGACAGAAUCCUUCCAAGGCUUCCAGGGCCAGUGUACUGGACGGUCAGCACAGGGAGCCUCAGAGCCCACUUCAUUUUUCCUGCAGUUGGGCACGACCCCAGGGACAUGACCCUUGAGAGUGCUGACACUUCCUGAAGCCAGUGACCCUCCCCCUGGGCUUCUCUCUGCCUGGGUCUCAGAGUCUCUGAGGCCAACUUGUACCCUCGGAAGUGUUUCUGCUGAAGGACACGUAAACAGCACUGUGGAUUUGUGUCCUGCAGUCUGCAAAACUGCCUCCCCUGAGUGGGGUGAGGAGCUACUGAAAUACUGAAAUCACUGAAACUAGCAGAAGCCACAGUUCAUGGUCCUGGGAGAAAACUGGGAAGGACGGAGAGGUGAAGAGGCUAUAAAGGCCCAGUCGUGAAGGCGACCAUGGGCCAGGAUGUCCGGAAGUCGCAAAGCUGACCAAUGCUGAGUGCCCUAAAACCUGCCACUCCUGUGCCCAUCUUUUCUUUCAAUGGACAAAGUCUUCCCCUGCUCUUAUGUGCCUGGGCUGGAAGGGCCUUUGACUUAGAACAUGAAGCAGCCUCCAGAGCCUCUUGGGGCAAGUGAUGGUCAAGGAGGCUCUGCCUAACCCCACCCUGCCCUUCCCAGUUGUCAGAGGACCAGGAAUUUCAGUCUUCCAGCUCCUGGGCUGAUCUAGUGACUUGUAACAGGAUUUCGCUGGAACUGGAAGGUGUUGAAGACAGGAAGUACUCCUGGGUUUCUUCACCCAGCUGAAUGCCUAGUUCCUGGUCUUAUUACACGGCCUACAUUCAGGAUAAGAAGAGGCGUUUGGAGCUUUACGCAGGACCUCUUAGCAGAGGUUUCUGUUCAGGAGCGAAGAGGUAAAAAGAAAGCAGUGUCUACUAAGUCCUUUUCCAAGAGUCUCAGGAAAUUCUCACGAAGACCCUCUCAGGUAAGGACUGACGGGAAAUGCCUUGGUUUAAUAUUAAACUUUGCCCUUGACACAUUUUGUUUAUGGAGGGCAUAUACAUAUUGUCCGCUCAAGGAAGCACUGUAGUUCUUAUCUAGACUUUAUGUAGAAUGAGUAUAUAUAAAACCUAAACUUGGUCCUUAAGCAAGGGGUUACCUCUCAGAGAAGGCCUAUGGGAAGGUUUCUACCAAAUUCUGUGGUGCUGCCAUUGCUCCAAGGAUCCCAGGUGGUGCCAAGUUUGAGCACUCGGCUGUUAACCGAAGGUUAGUUUUUUGAACCCACCAAAAGGCUCUAAGGAGUAAAGACCUGGCGAACUGCUUCCGUUAAGAUUACAAACCAGGAAACCCUAUCGGGGCAGUUCUCCUUUUACACUGGGCCACAAUGACUCAGAAACCCACUCGAUGGCACCUAGCAAUAACAACAGGAAGCCAUUGCCCCCAAUGUGCUUGAGAUGCCUUUCUGGGGAAGGUUGGCCUUCAGAGCCAGCUCAUGGCCACACGGGAACUGAGGCUCAUGUUUUGUUACCACACCUUAGUUUCAGUCAGUAAAUUUAUUUUCCAGUUUAUUCAUAAGACUUGACUGCAGACAUCUCUCAGGUAUUGUCAAAAUUAAUUCCAUUCUCUAAUAAUGAUUUGCCAGGACGUAUUUCCAAGCGUUUCCAAGAGACUGGAAAAACUUUCCAAAGAGGCUUGUCCAGCGCCAUGUUGUGCAGUAACUACAGUGUUUUUUUUUUUUUUUUGACGUAGUAUAUUAACCACAUAGUUUCCACGUUUUCUGCUUUCCUUAAAUAACAACUGAAAUUCCAAGUCUACCACCUGAAGUACUUCCUUUAGUGUUUCACUUAGAAGUCUGGUGGUGAUGAAUUCUCUCAGUUUUCCUUCCCCUAAGAAUGGCAUUAUUUGAGCUUUACUCCUGAAGGUAAUGAUACAUAGAUACAUGAUACAUAGAAUUCUGGGUUAGUAUUUCCAUCUUUCAGGGUUGAAAAAAUGUUGUUUCACAAUCUUUUUUUUUUUUGGCUUCCAUGGCUUCUGAUAGUGAAUACAGAGUCAUUCAAAUUGUUUUUCUCAGGUGAAAUGUGUUGUUUUCUCUCUACCUCCUUCCUGAGUAUUUUCUUGACCUUUGUUAUUCUGCAGUUGAUUAUGAUGUAUGGUAUUUUUAUGCAAGUAACCCAUGUUCUAUAUAUAUAUAUGUGUGUCAACUGUUUUUCCCCUCCCGGGUAUGUCUGUAAGUACAGUACACUGUUUUUUUCUUUUUACACGCUGCUGUUAAAAAAAAAAAAAAAAUUAGAGUAAUGUACUUACAAAUAUACUUGGGAUGUGGGGUAAGGCCCACUGGGUUGGCAAAAAACCCAUAACCCGCAGAAUAUUUUUGUGCAAAUACGGUAUUGGGGCAUAGAAUUCUUUAACUUGCUGUGGUUUGCUGAACUUCUUGAAUCUGUAAGUUUAUGUCUUUCACCACAUUUGGAAAGUGUUCAGCCAGUAUUUUUUCAAAUACUAUUUUCUUCACCACACAUUUUGUCCACUUCUUCUGGAGUUCCAAUAAAUAAGCUUUUUGUCUAGUUAUUGAGGCACUGUCCAUUUUUUUCCAUAUUUUCCUCUCUGUUUGCAGAAUGGAUAUUUUCUACUGAUCUAUUUCAAGUAUUUAGUUUUUUCUCUGUCAUCGCCAUUCUGCUAUUGUGAAAAUAUCAACUGAAUUUUUUAUUUCUACCAUUGUACUUUUAACAUGUAAAAUUUUCAUUUGCAAAUAGCACCUAUUAUCUUUCCAUUUAUUUAAAAAGUGUCUGUGUUAUUUCUUGGAGAAUGAUUAGAACAGCAUUUUAAAAUCUGUGUCUUAUGAUUUUGAGACUACAAGUCCUUCAAAAAUUUUAUGCAGAAUUUUUUUUUUUUAGCAGUCAAUUGACCCAGUUAUGCUCAGGCUCCAAGUUCUGUCCCAUCUUCUGUAUUCUGUGGUUCAAAUGUUAGUUCAAUUUUUGAAGGCUUUGCAGCUGUAUUCAGAUCUAAUCUAUGUGAGCGCCACUCAGUAUGGAACCUUGAUGGCAUUCUAACCCAUAGUGCGGCUCUUAAAGGAUUUUAUAAUGCUUCUUAGGGUCAGGGCAAUGCAUAUGCAUCUCGGGGGUGAACCAGGAGUUCAUAGCAAGUCUGCAGAAUCUCUUUCUUGCACAGCCUCCUCUCUGUCUUUCUCUUCUCCUCUCUGAGUUCUGAAGGAGUGCGUUCUAACCCAUAGUACGGCUCUUAAAGGAUUUGAUAAUGCGUCUUAGGGUCAGGGCAAUGCAUAUGCAUCUGGGGGGUGAAUCAGGAGUUCAUAGCAAGUCUGCAGAAUCUCUUUCUUGCACAGCCUCCUCUCUCUCUUUCUCUUCUGCUCUCUGAGUUCUGAAGGAGUGCUUUCCUGGCCCACUGGUGGAAAUGCUGGGGCUUUAAUCUCCUCAUUCUGUUGUGCACAUAAGUGACUGGUUCUACCUAUGGGGCCAAAGCACUGGACAACCAGCCAAAAGGCUGGCAGUUUGAACCUGUCAAGAAGCGCCUCAGAAGACAAGCCCGGUGAUCUGCUUUUGAAAAGUCUCACCCUUUGAGGCAGAAUUGACUAGGUGCCAGUUAACAGCAGAGAGAGAGAAAAUGUAAUGGAGCUUUCUCUACAAUAUUUGGUUCUUCCAUACUCUGGUCAGAGAAAAGGAUUCUCCUCUGCCAGAGUUUCAGGCGUGUGCCCACCUGCCCAGCUGCUUGUCUCUCUCCUUUACGGACCUUCUAUCCCAUUUAUAUGAGAGAGGGCUUCUCUUGGAGCUAUUUCUGUCCACAACGGGUGUGCAGCUCUGAGAUUUGGGCUCAUUUAAUUUCAGCCUCUGGAAUGUUCAUACUCUAUGUUCUGGUUCCGCCCCUUCCCCAUCCACCUUCAACACUUUCCUUUGCAGAGUCCUGAGAUAGUGUCCCAUGCAUUUGUCCAGAUACUUAGUUGUCAGAUACCAGCAUAGCCAUCGGGGGCAGUGCUGUUGUGGUUGCGGGGGAGGGAGUGUACACUGAAGGAGCUGCAAGACCUGGCUGCCUUGUGUGAGCAGGACGGGGGUGUGCUGAGGAGUGGGUGCUGAAGGUGCUGAGUCAAGGGGAGUUUAAUAUAAAGUUGGGUCAAAGAGAGUUUGUUGACAAGGAUUUAUUGCCGUAGCAAGGGUUCUGGAAAUGGGUUUAAUAUGCUGUGGGAUUGCUUUUGGAAUCUUAGAAAAGGCAAUGGCCCAUAUUCUCUGAAAUCGAAAUGCCAGACCUGCUGUGUCAGAUGUUGGAAGAGGGAUUAAAAGCCUCCAAUAUGUGGGCAUGUCUGAGUUAGUCUUCUAUAAGACCAUUUCUUGGAGGUCCUGAAGGAUACCCAUUUCAUCAAAAGAAUAAGGAAUGCGGAGAUGAGGGGAGCACCAGCAAGAUAGAGCUUACCAAUAUGUAUACUUUGUAGGGAGUCCCUGGACGCCACAAACAGUUAAGUGCUUGACUGUUAUCCGAAAGUUUGGCAGUUUGAACGUACUCAGAGGGUCCUUGGAAGACAGUCCUGGCCAUCUGCUACUAAAGGAUGAAAGCCUUAAAAACACUCUUGAACAGUUAGUUCUACUAUGCCCACAUGGGGUGGUCAUGAGUCAGAAAUGACUUGAUGACAACUAACAGCAACAAUCGUCUAUAGGCUCAGGUUGUUAGUGGGAGCUGGGCUGCCUAGUAGCAAUGCAAAUCAUGGGAUCCCAGCUCAACAGAGGCCAGGUGGAAGUACUUAACUGUCAGAAACAAGUUGUGUGUGAUUCCAAUAAUGGUCAGCAGGUCAGAGUAGUAGUUAUCUAUUGGGGCAUAAUAGAUUCUCCCCAAACUUAGCAGGUGUGAGAUAAAUGGAAAAUUAAUAUUCAACUCAUUCUGAUAAAUUUGGAACUAGACAAAAAUUUUGGUAUCACUCAACACAGUUUUAAGGUGAAGGAAUAAACUAGAAAAUUUAAAUAACUAGUAUAAGUAUAAUAAGAGAUUUUUCAAAGAAUGAUGAUAUAAUUGCAUACCUGAAUAAAAGACAAAUACAUCACAAUCAAUGAUUUCUCUCCAGUAUAGACAUGAGGGUCUCAAAUUGGCAAGGGUGAGAAGGGCAGACCGUUCUCUUUCCCCUACUACUUGACUGGAUCAAACUGUGUUCAAAACUGUAAAAUAUUUAGGAAAACAUUGUUUUGACCAGAGCAGCAAAGGACUUCUAUGAUGAAAACUAAUGUACUAAAAUACAUAAAAUGAAACCUGAAUAUAUGCAAAAAAUAUGCCAUAUUUUCAAAUGAGAAGUCUUGUCAAUCAAAUGGAGGUCCCUAAAACUAAUAUAUAAGUGGAAUGUAUUUCCAGUUGGAAUAUUAAGAUAGUUGUUUUUGAAUUGUAUACAGUAAUCAUAUGCUACAAAUAGUACAGUAGAUAGCAGAGGAUGUUGCUGGUGUUAGGAGACUUGGAGUCCAUUUCUGACUCAUAGUGAUCCCAUUUCACUGCCCCAUAGGGUUUUCUAGGCUGUGAUCAUUAUGGGAGCAGAACAACAGGUCUUUCCCCUCAGUGCCCCCUGGUGGGUUCGACCUGCCAAACCUUCUUUGGAUUAGCAGAUGAGCACUUAAUCACUACAACACUACGGCUGCUUUAAAAGGUAUAGAGAAGAAAAACAUGAAAAAGCAGGAUACUGACAGGUGUCUACCUCUUCAGGUAACAGAACAAAUUGAUAUUACAUAGCACAGAAACUGACAAGUCGACCAAUGAAACAAAAUCUGCUAAGAAGUCACAAUAACCAUUGAUACAAAGGUGGUAUUUUGAGAAAAUUAUAUUUAUUUAAUAAACAGUGCUGACUCAAGUGAUCGUUCUGGGGGACAAAGCUUGCAAAAAUGUGAUACACAAAUGAUAGAUUUGGAAAAUCAUGUGAAAUGGAGAUGACAAGACUUAAUAACAAUUUCCAUUUUACACAGAAGGAUAAAAGUUAAGCACUUGAAAAAUGAGCAGUGAAUUCAAACAGAUCGUUCACAGCAAAUCCACAUGCCCAAUAAACAUAGUCCAAGUUGCUCAAAAACACUGGUAGUUAAGAAAAUAUCAAAGUCCCAGUGAAACUGGCACAAUUUAAAAAUCAACACCAUCUAUGGCUGGCUGGGCUGUGGGGAGAAGGAUACCCUGAGACAUGGCUGGAAAGGUGCUUUAGGACAGCCUCUAGGGGAAAGACAUGGCCAUGGCUCUGUACUUUAAAAACAUACUUUGAGCUGGAAAUCUCACUCUAUGGAGUCUAUUCCACAGAAACAGAUCCUGUAGUAUACAACUGAUAGUUAUUAUUAGUGUUGACCAAACAUUGACUGUACAUUGAUAGUUGAAUGAUAGAUAACUUAUGGUAAAGCUACAUCAUCAAUAAAUGAGUUGUAGUAGUUGAGUGGGAAAAAUCUCUGUGAAGUAUUAUUGAAGUAUUACUGAAAAAAUCAAGGUGCAUGCAGAGAAGUGUAUAUAAAAUGAUCACAUCUGGGUUAAACAAUAUCAAUUGUUUGAAUAUGCUUGAAUACCUGUUUAUGUUUAUGAGUGUGUAUAAGUCCGUGUGCUUGUUUAAGCAAGGAUAAGAGAGAGUACUUACCACAUUGUUAACCUGAAUUAUCUUGGAUUCACUUGCAGGAAAGAACAGAGGGAGGAGAGGUAGAACACGCAGGAAGAGUGGACUUAAAAAGCAUGGAUGAUAAUGUUUCCAUCUUAGUAGUGUUAUGUAUGGAUGAACAAAUCUGUCUUAAAGGGAGAAAGCCAGAAUGUUCCUUAGAAGCAAGGAUGGCUUUGGCCAUGUUAUCAAGAGGGAGGGACCAGUCCCUGGAAAAGGACAUCAUGCUUGGUAAAGCAGAGGUCCAGUGAAAAAGAGGAAGACCCUCAAUGAGAUUGAUACAGUGGCUGCAACAGUGUGCUCAAAUAGAGCAAAGAUUAUUAGGAUUGCACAUGACCGGGUGGUGUUUUGUUCUGUGGUGCAAAGGGCCACUGUGAGUCAGAACUGACUUGAUAGCUUCUGACAACAACAUGUAGAAGUCCAGAUAAAGUGUACUGAAUUGAUAUCAUCUAUUUAAAUUAUUCAUGUAAGUUAAAAGAUCAAAAAAUAUAGUGUUAGUGCCAUAUCUAAUGACUUAAAGAGAAUCAAGGUAGAAUAUUAAGUGAAAUAAGGGGCGAGAGCAUUGUGGGUGGAGUGUGACCAGGCUUUCAUAAAAGUAAACACCCCAGCAGAUGUACUUGUGUACCUGUGACUGUGUGUAUGCGUCCCUGCAGAGAGGUGUAGGGAAGGAUACACGUGUGUCUAUUACCAUCGGAUACCUUGUGGGAGCGGGACCAAAUUACAUAUGAGGGUGGGACCCUGACAUAAAUUUUUUUGUCAUACAAAUCUGUGAUCUUGCAAAUGUGAUAAAAAGCAAUUUCAGAGCUUUGGAAAUUCAUAAACAUCAUAGAUAUAUGUAUAUUUUAACGUGUUUUGUUAGAUAUUUAAAAUAGGUGAAAAUUCUCCAGAAUGACAGACAAAAGAUUUGAAUCACUGGAAGGACAGCACACCACAGAGAGUAAUAAUCAGAUCCAGUGGAUUUCUUGUUGUUCUUGGAGGCAGUGAGUUCUUCUGGUCUCUAUAACUGGAAAUGACCAAAAAUAAUUUUGGGAAGUCAGUAGAGUUACCCCUCAAACACGUCUUGCAAGCACACGUCUACAGCUAAAUUCAGAAGGCUGGAUGCCAUGUGCAAUUCACUAGGUAACUCAUGCGCCUCUAGAAGAUUCUCUUUCCCGGAUAUGCUGCUUCCACCUCCUCCCUGCCUAGCCCCACUGGAUAACCCGCCUUUGUGCAUUCUAGGCCCCAUUCAGGUCUGAGCCUAGAUCAUAGAGGACAUCAACUGGGAAGGUAGCUUUUAAGAAGAAAGAUGUUGAUGAAAAGAUUUCAGAAAGCAGCACCUCCCCAGCCAUCCUCUCCCCAGCCUGGGAAUACCAACCCCUCCCACCCUGAUACCUCUGAGAAUCUCUGAUUUUUCGUUUUGGAUCCUUAGGAGACUGCAGAAUUUACCUGGUCUGAACACCUUGGUUCUUCUCUGCCUCUGACCCUCUGCCUCGCAGGAGCCGUCUCUGUCACUCUGAGGAAUACACACAGGACAGACUGUGGAUGGAGGUGCCCAUCCUAGAGGCCCUGCCCUCCAUUCCUCUGCCCCUGGGGGGUUCCCUGUGAUACUUGUGGUCUCAUUUCCCAGAGAGAUGGAUACACCCCUGUCAUGUCCAGGGCUUCCCCAGACUUGGGAUUUGAUGUCGCGACUGAGACUGGGGCUUUGUUGUCCACUGUUGAGUCUGGCCCUGAAUCUGCCCCUUCCCACCAUUACCUCUGAUCACCUGUGUUCUCGCUGUUCUCCCUGGGUUUGAAGCCUGUCCUCUCUUUUGGUUCUUUCACCUCAGAGGGCCUUUUUCUUCCAGUUCUUUGACCUCGCGACAGGUCAGAUUUGACCACAGGAAAACAAAAAGAAAAUUAGCAAGUUUGUUUGACAUGUCAAGAACCGGAAUGUACAGCUUGAUUUAGGCGAAGAAAAAGUUCCAAAGCUCUACCCCUUCCCCUAGGACAUGCUCUACAGGAAAUAUCCUGCAAGCCCUGGAUCAACUCUUAUCCAGAAACGGUUAACACCCAGGGGGAUUUUUCUACACCACCUCCCACUUACAUUCCCCUAAUGUGGCAAAAAGGAUGCAUCCCAAUCAUAAACCCAAAUUCACCGUAGGAGACCAGAAGACAUGGCUGGGCUGCUCCUCCAGGCGUCUGCAGACCGCUCUCUUCUCCCUCACCUCCCUCUUCUUGGCCGCCAUCAGGCAACGCCUGGCCAGCUGGUGGCAGCGUCUGGGCCUUCGCUGGACUGAGCGUGGCA